GCUCCCAUGGCGUAGUGGUCACUGCGCUCGCCUUGCACGCGGGAGACCCGGGUUCGAUUCCCGGCGGCUCCA
rnacentral:tRNA from 1 species